rnacentral:rRNA from 1 species
UACGUAGGGAGCAAGCGUUGUUCGGAUUUACUGGGCGUAAAGGGCGCGUAGGCGGCAAUUCAAGUCAUCUGUGAAAUCUCCGGGCUUAACUCGGAACGGUCAGGUGAAACUGCUUUGCUAGAGUGCGGAAGGGGCAAUCGGAAUUCUCGGUGUAGCGGUGAAAUGCGUAGAUAUCGAGAGGAACACCUGAGGUGAAGACGGGUUGCUGGGCCGACACUGACGCUGAAGCGCGAAAGCCAGGGGAGCAAACGGG